rnacentral:rRNA from 1 species
UACGUAGGGCGCGAGCGUUAUCCGGAAUUAUUGGGCGUAAAGAGCUUGUAGGCGGUUUGCCGCGUCUGCUGUGAAAGCCCGGGGCUUAACUCCGGGUGUGCAGUGGGUACGGGCAGGCUAGAGUGCAGUAGGGGAGACUGGAAUUCCUGGUGUAGCGGUGAAAUGCGCAGAUAUCAGGAGGAACACCGAUGGCGAAGGCAGGUCUCUGGGCUGUUACUGACGCUGAGAAGCGAAAGCAUGGGUAGCGAACAGG